rnacentral:lncRNA from 1 species
GCGGUCAAAUUUGGUCCCGCAGUUGGCCGUGAUGAUAGCGGCAUGAAAGGAGCCCAGAGAAGGCCUGCUUCUCUCUCUCUCUCGUGCAAUAAAGAUCUGAACCCAAAGUUUUUAUUCUGGAUCACCUCCACCAGUAAAUGUUACAGUGGUCCCCCAGGAGCCCAGCCUUCUCUUCUUUAGAGAGGAAAUGACGAGAUGACCCCAUUUGAAACGAAGCCUAAUCACCGGUUUUUGCAUCCACCGACUACUUUGGCGAGGAAGGGGCAAAGUUUCAGUUUUUUUUUUUUUUUCAAAAAAUGUGCCACA